CGGAGGGUGCAAGCGUUAUCCGGAUUCACUGGGUUUAAAGGGUGCGUAGGCGGAUUAGUAAGUCCGUGGUGAAAUCUCCAAGCUUAACUUGGAAACUGCCGUGGAUACUAUUAGUCUUGAAUGUUGUGGAGGUUAGCGGAAUAUGUCAUGUAGCGGUGAAAUGCAUAGAUAUGACAUAGAACACCAAUUGCGAAGGCAGCUGGCUACACAAAUAUUGACGCUGAUGCACGAAAGCGUGGGGAUCAAACAGGAUUAGAUACCCUGGUAGUCCACGCCCUAAACGAUGAUUACUCGACAUUUGCGAUAUACAGUAAGUGUCUGAGCGAAAGCAUUAAGUAAUCCACCUGGGAAGUACGACCGCAAGGUUG
rnacentral:rRNA from 1 species